CGUGCACUGGUGGGGUCCCUCGGCCUGGCCUGUGCCCUCUUGCAAUCUGGAACCCCUUGGAGGAUGUCAGACUGCCAGUUUUGGCCUGAUCCCCGCAGGCCAGGCCGAGGGACCCCACCAGUGCAUG
rnacentral:pre_miRNA from 1 species